rnacentral:rRNA from 1 species
AGAAUCAACGCUGGCGGCGUGCCUAACACAUGCAAGUCGAACGAGAACGGGUAGCAAUACCUUAGUAAAGUGGCGCACGGGUGAGUAACACGUGACUAACCUACCCUGGAGUGGGGGAUAACUGAGAGAAAUCUUAGCUAAUACCGCAUAACACCUACGGGUCAAAGGAGCAAUUCGCUUCAGGAGGGGGUCGCGGCAGAUUAGAUAGUUGGCGGGGUAAUGGCCCACAAGUCAGUGAUCUGUA